rnacentral:rRNA from 1 species
UGGGGAAUAUUGCGCAAUGGGCGAAAGCCUGACGCAGCGACGCCGCGUGAGGGAAGAAGGCCUUCGGGUCGUAAACCUCUGUCUAGAGGGAAGAAACCAUUGAGGUCGAACAGGCCUCUUUGCUGACGGUACCUCUGAAGGAAGCACCGGCUAACUCCGUGCCAGCAGCCGCGGUAAUCCGGAGGGUGCGAGCGUUAAUCGGAAUCACUGGGCGUAAAGCGCACGUAGGCGGUGUCGUAAGUCGGAGGGGAAAGCCCGCGGCUCAACCGGGGAACGGCAGGCGAUACUGCGAUGCUUGAGUGCCGGAGAGGGUGGCGGAAUUCCAGGUGUAGGAGUGAAAUCCGUAGAUAUCUGGAGGAACACCAGUGGCGAAGGCGGCCACCUGGCCGGCAACUGACGCUGAGGGACGAAAGCGUGGGGAUCAAACA